CAAGUGUGAAUGGACGUCAAACCGUAGGCUGGCUUAAUUUAGUCGUUCAUAUGAAUUAGGCGAGACAACAUGAACUGGAGUACUGUAGUUUGUCUGUGAACGAUAGGUACUUGAGACUUAAAUCAUAGACUGUGCUCGGAGAAGUCUAUAUGGCAACGCUUUUGGACAGGAGUUCGACUCUCCUCAUCUCCACCA
rnacentral:tmRNA from 1 species